UACGUAGGGGCCUAGCGUUGUCCGGAUUUAUUGGGCGUAAAGAGCUCGUAGGCGGUUGUGCAAGACAGAUGUGAAAUCCCCGGGCUCAACCUGGGAACUGCAUUUGUGACUGCACGGCUAGAGUGUGUCAGAGGGGGGUAGAAUUCCACGUGUAGCAGUGAAAUGCGUAGAUAUGUGGAGGAAUACCGAUGGCGAAGGCAGCCCCCUGGGAUAACACUGACGCUCAUGCACGAAAGCGUGGGGAGCAAACAGG
rnacentral:rRNA from 1 species